rnacentral:rRNA from 1 species
GGCUUGGAAGCAGCCAUUCAUUUAAAGAGUGCGUAACAGCUCACUAGUCGAGCGAUCGGGCGUGGAUGAUAAUCGGGCAUAAGUAUACUACCGAAACUGUGGAUUGUUAGCCCAAAGGCUGACACUGGUAGGGGAGCAUUCCGGUCUUGCGUUGAAGGUGUGUUGUAAGACAUGCUGGAGCGUCCGGAAAAGCAAAUGUAGGCAUAAGUAACGAUAAUGAGGGUGAGAAACCCUCACACCGAAAGACCAAGGUUUCCUGAUCAACGCUAAUCGGAUCAGGGUUAGUCGGGGCCUAAGAUGUAGCCGAAGGGCGAAAUCGAUGGACAACAUGUUAAUAUUCAUGUACCGGCAUUAACUGCGAUGGGGUGACGGAGGAGUGAAAGGCGUGCGUACUGACGGAAUAGUACGUUGAAGGGUGUAGAUAUAUCGUGGAUAGGUAAAUCCGUUCAUGAUGUCGAACCUGAUAGUACCGUGAGGCUUCGGCCAAGCGGAUAAUCGCCCUAAUCAGACUUCCAGGAAAAACCUCUAAGCAUCAGGUUAUUGCCGCUCGUACCGUAAACCGACACAGGUGGUCGAGGAGAGAAUCCAAAGGUGCUCGAGUGAUUCAUAGUUAAGGAACUAGGCAAAUUAGUCCUGUAACUUCGGGAGAAAGGACGCCCGCCGCAAGGCGGGCCGCAGAGAAACGGCCCAGGCGACUGUUUAUCAAAAACACAUGGCUUUGCUAAAUCGAAAGAUGAUGUAUAAGGCCUGACACCUGCCCGGUGCUGGAAGGUUAAGAGGAGAUGUCAUUCGCAAGGAGAAGCAUUGAAUUGAAGCCCCAGUAAACGGCGGCCGUAACUAUAACGGUCCUAAGGUAGCGAAAUUCCUUGUCGGGUAAGUUCCGACCUGCACGAAUGGUGUAACGAUCUGGGCACUGUCUCAACCAUGAGCUCUGUGAAAUUGUAGUAUCGGUGAAGAUGCCGAUUACCCGCAAUGGGACGAAAAGACCCUGUGAACCUUUACUAUAACUUCGUAUUGACUUUGAAUAAACAAUGUGUAGGAUAGGUGGGAGACUUUGAAGCGGGCACGCCAGUGUCUGUGGAGUCAACGUUGAAAUACCACCCUUUGUUUAUUUGGAGCCUAACUUGAGAGAUCAAGGACAUUGCGUGGUGGGUAGUUUGACUGGGGUGGUCGCCUCCAAAAGAGUAACGGAGGCUUUCAAAGGUACCCUCAGCACGCUUGGUAACCGUGCGUAGAGUGUAAUGGCAUAAGGGUGCUUGACUGUGAGACCUACAAGUCGAUCAGGUGCGAAAGCAGGACAUAGUGAUCCGGUGGUUCCGUAUGGAAGGGCCAUCGCUCAAAGGAUAAAAGGUACUCCGGGGAUAACAGGCUGAUCGCUCCCAAGAGCUCAAAUCGACGGGGCGGUUUGGCACCUCGAUGUCGGCUCGUCACAUCCUGGGGCUGGAGAAGGUCCCAAG